rnacentral:rRNA from 1 species
GGUAAAAGAACGAGAGUUCGUGCUAUUGUUUAUAAAACUUUUCACCGCCUAGCUCGAACUGAACGCGAUGUAAUAAAACUUAUGGUUGACGCCGUAGAUAAUAUAAAGCCAAUAUGCGAAGUGGUCAAAGUAGGAGUCGCAGGUACUAUUUAUGAUGUUCAUGGGAUUGUAGCCAGGGAUCGUCAACAAACCUUAGCUAUUCGUUGGAUCCUUGGAGCAGCUUUCAAACGACGUAUAAGCUACUGGAUAAGCUUAGAGAAAUGCUCAUUUGCUGAGAUACUGGAUGCUUACCGAAAGAGGGGAAUGACUUCCGUUGGCUUGAGAUCUUUCUAG